UGACCUUCAGGCUAAACUCCUCCCAGUUA
rnacentral:piRNA from 1 species